rnacentral:lncRNA from 1 species
AUUCUAAAAUAUGUCCAAUGAUAAAAUCAUAAAAUAGAAAAGGAAUAUUUCACCUUAUUCAGCUAUAAAUAAAUACACUCCAUAGCUAAGAAAACCCUGAGCCUCAAUGUAGUAAGCAGAGCAUUUCAAAGUGAUGAACACAGCAAGAGCUUGUGUUGAGGGAGCAUAGAUAUGUCAGGCUCAAGGGGCAGGGAAGGUCCUCCCACCUGGUCCUGCUCACUGAAACACUCCAUGAUCACCCUCCCAGGAGACCUGGACCAUGACUCCAGUCUACGAGGCUUUCAGGUUUGCACAGCACUGCACUGCACUGGGGUGGGUGGUCCUAUGCUCUGGGAGAGUUUUCCUCCUUCACAACUGUGAGAGAAUGCAAGGGCAGGAAUCACUGCUGACCUGACCCCUCAGCACCAGCAUCCACAGGCUCACUGUCCACCUGUCUUCAAGAAUAGAAACAGGGCUUGGGGAGAUAAUAUCCAUAGAAGGUAGCUGUCCAGAUAAGGCCUGUUCCAGAAGAUUCCUCAGCCCCAGGACCUUCUGAUGCUCCCCUGAGAGGCUGUACCCCACACCUCAGGCUGUCCUCUAGGAGGAGCUGACCCAGGGCCUCAAAUUCUCUGCCCCCUACAGGACUUAGGUCACUGUUGCACCUGGGCAGCCCCAGAAAAGGAUAGAACAGUGGCUGAGAACACAGAACCUUGUGAAGAGUCUAGAGGAAACUGCUACCCAAAGACAAUAAGGCCUCUAUGCCUGGGAAAGGCAAGGAAAGACGGACCCAAAGGGUUUUAACAGUGGAGUUCCAAUGAUGUUCUCUACUUUCUCCUCUUGACAAAUGUUCACAAACAGAAACAAAUAUUUAAAAAAGUAUCAUCCAUUACCCAGCGAAAAAAUGAUAAUUUAUUACUGUGCCCACUUUAAUGUAAUGAGGGAAACAAAGAGCUGAUAAUGCUGAAAACUAGAGGGGGUAUCUGGAAAUGUGGGAGAGUCUAAAGGACUCCUUCCAGGGUUGGUGUGAGCAGCCUGGGCCUCUGCAAGGGAGGCUGCACAGAAUGCUCUCACUGGACCUUCAGUGACCUCCUCUUGCAGGACCAAUUCUGGCCUUGGUUUAAAGUUACUGGGAUCAAGGAUCUCUUUCCUCAAAUUGUCAAUCAAAAGAGACACAGUGUUAUAAGAAUCCAGGGGGGAAAUCACUCAAAUUCAUAGUUUAUGUUUAUAGGAGGAAUUGCAUAGCUCUGGUCAACAGAAUCAGUGUUAAACAUUCACCUACAGUUCACAAGGUACAGAACAGACCAUCCACUGCCAAACCCCUGCAAGUGCAGGAGCUGAUGUUUUGGUGAAUCUUUGUAAUGAACCAAUUCAUCCACCACAAUGUAUUGGAGAAAUGUACUAACUUUCUGCAACCACAUUGGAACAAGAUCAUCUCUAUUUUCCCAAGGGCAUUCCCAAAGCACAGCCCUGGAAUUCUUCUACCCCCACACCUCCGAAACUAACAUAUCUGAGAGAUGUAGUGCUCUCACCCUAGAGGAGAAAAAAGGUACAUAAAAAAUUUUAACUAACCAGGUGCAGGCCUGUAAUCCCAUUGCCUCCAGAGGAUGACACAGGAAGGAUACAAAUUCAAAACAAGCCUCAGAAACAUAGCAAGGCCCUCAAAUGCUUGGUAAGACCCUUUCUCAAAAGAAAAAAUAAAAAGUCUGGAGAUUCUCAGCAUAAUCAAUAUGUGAAGAGAAAGCCUACACAAUGGGAAAAAAUCUUUACCACACACACCCCAGAGCACUAAUCUCUAGGAUAUGUAAAGAACUCAAAAACACUAAACACCAAAAGCAAAAAAAAGAAAAAGAAAAAACAAAAACCAAAAUCCAAUAAAUAAAUGGGCUAAGGAACUGAAAAGAUACUUCAUAGAAGAAGAAAUACAAUCAAUCAACAAAUGUAUGGAAAAAUGCUCCCCAUCUCUAGCAAUUAGAAAAAUGGAAAUCAAAACUACUCUAAGAUUUC